rnacentral:rRNA from 1 species
AGCGAGUCUGCCUUGAAGAUCGGAGUGCUUGCACUCUGUGAAACAAGAUACAGGCUAGCGGCGGACGGGUGAGUAACACGUGGGUAACCUGCCCAAGAGAUCGGGAUAACACCUGGAAACAGAUGCUAAUACCGGAUAACAACAGAUGAUGCCUAUCAACUGUUUAAAAGAUGGUUCUGCUAUCACUCUUGGAUGGACCUGCGGUGCAUUAGCUAGUUGGUAGGGUAACGGCCUACCAAGGCGAUGAUGCAUAGCCGAGUUGAGAGACUGAUCGGCCACAUUGGGACUGAGACACGGCCCAAACUCCUACGGGAGGCAGCAGUAGGGAAUCUUCCACAAUGGACGCAAGUCUGAUGGAGCAACGCCGCGUGAGUGAAGAAGGGUUUCGGCUCGUAAAGCUCUGUUGUUGGUGAAGAAGGACAGGGGUAGUAACUGACCUUUGUUUGACGGUAAUCAAUUAGAAAGUCACGGCUAACUACGUGCCAGCAGCCGCGGUAAUACGUAGGUGGCAAGCGUUGUCCGGAUUUAUUGGGCGUAAAGCGAGUGCAGGCGGUUCGAUAAGUCUGAUGUGAAGGCCUUCGGCUCAACCGGAGAAUUGCAUCAGAAACUGUCGAGCUUGAGUACAGAAGAGGAGAGUGGAACUCCAUGUGUAGCGGUGAAAUGCGUAGAUAUAUGGAAGAACACCGGUGGCGAAGGCGGCUCUCUGGUCUGUUACUGACGCUGAGGCUCGAAAGCAUGGGUAGCGAACAGGAUUAGAUACCCUGGUAGUCCAUGCCGUAAAC